CCUACGAAAUGGGAAUCUCAAGGGGAGAGGCCAGUUGACCCGUGUGAAUUUAACACAAGUCCCGGUAGAUUCUUCUCAGGCAAUUUUGGGGAACAACAGCUCUGCAUUGAUAUUCCGACUCAUAACAGUGACCUAAAGUUCGAAAUACAGGGGCCCACAGGGCUCAAGUGGGUGUGAGUGAAAGAGCAUGCAGCCCAGAGGGGAAACUGGGGUCUGGCCCUAAGGAGAAACACUCAGCACUUGAGACAGGCACAUACCAAGUUCUAUAAGUGUCCACAGGAGAACGAAAAUGCACUGGCUGCAAUCAGGGAAAGCUACCUGGGAGAGGUGACCUACAAAUCAUGACUGGAAUUUAAAUAAAGUACCCUCCAGAAUAAACAUAAGAUGGGAAGGAGUGUGUAAGGAAAGAGACACCAGGCUUCUCAUUCUCCCUGAUUUGUUCCUAUCCCCCAACUUUGCCUUUGUCCCAGGCACACUUCCAGUAGCUCUCAGGGCUCAGAACGGUUGCUGACCUCUGGGUGGGAUCAUGGAACACCUUACUUGGUAUUUAAGUGACACAUACUUUGUGAAAUACAAACACAUUUUUAUCUAGCAAGGGCUGAGUCAAUAAAAUAACAUCAAACAUUUGCACAAUACUCUGUGGGCUUUCCAAGCAGUUACGUGAUAGUUACUUCCUCUAAUUUUUACAUAAUCUGUGUGCUCACAGAAGCCCUGUGACCUGCUUGAGUUUAGUACCUAGUGAAAGGUGCGGCUGGGACCCUACCGUGUCCACCAUUUUUGAGAACAGAAGCACAGUUGAGCAGUUGGUGCUUAGCACUUGGGAAAAAGAUCUGUGGAUGGUGACUGGAGGACAGACUGGCCCUUUACCCAGGACUCUCUGAUCAUAUGACUUCCCUGAGGAACUUGUUACAAAUAGAGGUUUCCGGCGCCCACCCAAGACCUACUAAAUCAAGAUUUCCAAGAGGAAGAACUUAGGAAUUGCAUUUUACAAGAGAUGCAGCAUGUUGCAAGUCCCUUCACCUUCUGAGCCUCCGUUUCUCAUCUGUACAGUGGGGUUUUCAUCGGGAGAAACCAAUGUGUGCACAAGGCGAAGGAACACAGAGCCCAGUGACUUGGAGCUGCCUUCGCCCCGCCCUGGACCUGGCUGCAAUGCCGAAGAGAACCACACGAGGGCGCCAGAACCACACUGGUGACCACCUGCGGCCCAGUCGGACCAAGGUCCCUUCAAAAUUGUCCCCCCCCUCCCCCCGCAGCGAGAGAGGAAGGACACCAAUCACUGCAGGCCUGGGAUGCUUCCAUUCAGGAGGGAGCCAGCGAGAAAGAACUGGAUUAUAAACUCUGUCCGAGAAGAAUCCCCACCCCUAUCCCAGUCUUUGCGGAGCUAUGCUGGCCAAGGUGACCCUCCGAACUGGCCCCCCCUCAAGCACCUGCGGCAUGUUGGGAUGGAACUGCUGUGUGGCUUCAAGCAAGCCCCUGUCCCUCUCUGGACCUCAGUUUCCAGCCUGCACUGCUGGGUUUCUGUGCAGAGAUGCUGUGGGGCGGGCAUCUGGCUGCUCACUGGCUGCUUCCUGUCGGCUCUGGUUGAGGAUGUUUCCUGUGCCCAACUUCCUGCUCCAGGUCCCCAGUUUGUCACAGGCCCUGCUGCAUGCUCCGUGUUUGUUAAAUUGAACUGAAACAGAAAUAAAACACUCCCUAGAACAUAAAACAGGAGUUUAGAGGCAACCACCAGAGACCUUUUCUCCUUGCCCUUCAGGAAAUUCCUGGUUGCAGAGCACACUGGCAUUGCCCUUGGCCGGGGGUGGUGGUGGUGGUGGUGGUGGUGUGUGUGUGUGUGUGUGUGUGUGGUGUGUGGUAUGGUGUGGUUGUGGUGUGGGGCGUGC